GGCUGACCUCACCGCGCCCGGCAGCCCUCCCUCUAGCUGUGCGGCCGCCGGCGGCAAGCGGACGCGGUGGCGGUGGCGGUGGAGUUGGGAUCUGUCUGCCGGAGUGAGGGUGAGGAGGAGGGGAUUGGGAUCUGUGUACUGGAAAACUAGUGAUGACGCACCUCCUAAGAAUGCGAUAUUGCUAACCAGGGUUACUAAUGACGUAUCUGAUGUGUGGUGUGUCAUUACUAGUUUUGAAGAAAAAAAAUUAGAAAAAUGUUAGUAGUGGCGCACCGUGAGUGUGGUGCGUCAUUACUAGUUAAAACUAGUAAUGGCGCACUUUUCCCUGAUGCGUCACUGCUAAGUCUGGGAAGGGUGUGGGGCGAGGACAAAACUAGUAAUG
rnacentral:lncRNA from 1 species